rnacentral:lncRNA from 1 species
AUGUGCAGGGAGCGUUUUUGGGUUCGGUGCUGCCGGAUUUGGAACCGGGGGGGAUUUUCCAAACCAGGCCGCUCAGCCCCGGCCUCUGCGCAGCUGCCGGGUCCGUCCUGCGGGAUCAGCCCGCGUGGAGGAGCCGCUCCUGCAGCCGCUGCUUUGUUCCUGAGAGGGGCAGGAACGGAGCAGCCCCGGCAGGAACCGGGCGGGAUCCGCGCUGUGCCAGCCCGAGGAGCCGAAGGAGCGUCCCGGACUCGGGGAGGCUGCGGCCCGCACGGAGCUGCUCCAUUCCGCCUUCUCCCGCAUGGAGCUGCUCCAUCCCUGCUGCUCCCGCAUGGAGCUCGGAGCUGCUCCAUUCCUGCUUCUUCCGCACGGAGCUGCGCCAGUUCCGCUUCUUCCGCACGGAGCUGCUCCAUCUCUGCUUCUCCUGCAUGGAGCUCGGAGCUGCUCCAUCCCUGCAUCUCCCGCAUGGAGCUGCUCCAUCCCUGCAUCUCCCUCAUGGAGCUGCUCCAUCUCUGCUUCUCCCGCAUGGAGCUCGGAGCUGCUCCAUGCCGGCUUCUCCAGCACAGAGCUGCGCCAGUUCCGCUUCUCCCGCACGGAGCUGCUCCAUUCCUGCUGCUUUAUCCCUGCUUCUCCCGCUUCUCCCGCACGGAGCUGCUCCAUUCCUGCUGCUCCAUUCCUGCAUCUCCCGCACGGAGCUGCUCCAUCCCUGCUGCUCUAUCCCUGCUUCUCCCACACGGAGCUGCUCCAAUUCCGCUUCUCCAGCACGGAGAUGCUCCAUCCCUGCAUCUCCCGCACGGAGCUGCUCCCUUCCUGCUGCUCCAUUCCCGCUUCUCCAGCACAGAGUUGCUCCAUCCAUGCUUCUCCAGCACGGAGUUGCUCUAUCACCACCCCUGCAGCACGGAGCUGCUCCAUCCCCGCUGCUCCAUCCCCGCGGUUCCCUCACGGAGCUGCUCCAUCCCCGCCGCUCCAUCCCCGCGGUCCCGCAGCUCCGGGCCCGGCUCACGCCGCUCUUUUUUCUCCUCUCCCGCAGCCUCCGCCCGGUUCGGGUCCCUCGGAGCCCUGUGGAGCAGCGUUAACCCCUGCGAGCCCAGCGCGGAGCACGGAGCGCUCACGGAGCCGCCGGGACCGGAGAGGGGGGGGACACGGGAGGGGGCUCCGAGGAGCUGCCAGGACCCGGCUAAUCCCCCUGCCAGGACCUGUGUCCUUCCCCUGCCAGGACCUGAGUCCUUCCCUCUGCCGGGACCCGGCUAA